GAUGAACGCUAGCGGCAGGCCUAACACAUGCAAGUCGAGGGGCAGCACAGAAACAGCAAUGUUUUGGUGGCGACCGGCGGACGGGUGCGUAACGCGUAUGCAACCUACCUUUAACAGGGGGAUAACGGAGAGAAAUUUCCACUAAUACCCCAUAACAUCGAUCAAGGCAUCUUGAUUGGUUGAAAACUCCGGUGGUUAACGAUGGGCAUGCGUUGUAUUAGGUAGUUGGUGAGGUAAUGGCUCACCAAGCCUACGAUACAUAGGGGGACUGAGAGGUUGGCCGCCCACACUGGUACUGAGACACGGACCAGGCUCCUACGGGAGGCAGCAGUGAGGAAUAUUGGUCAAUGGGGGCAACCCUGAACCAGCCAUGCCGCGUGCAGGAAGACGGCUCUAUGAGUUGUAAACCGCUUUUAAACAGGGAUAAAGCACAGUAUGUAUACUGUGUUGAAGGUACUGUAAGAAUAAGGAUCGGCUAACUCCGUGCCAGCCGCCGCCGUAA
rnacentral:rRNA from 1 species